rnacentral:rRNA from 1 species
UCGAGUGACUCAGGCAAAACGAGUCACGGCGAACAGCUCAGUAACACGUGGCUAAUCUGCCCUUAGGACGAGAAUAACCCCGGGAAACUGGGGCUAACUCUCGAUAGGUGAAGAACUCUGGAAUGAGUCUUCACUCAAAAAGCUUCACGUUAUCCUCGUGAAGUCGCCUAAGGAUGAGGCCGCGGCCGAUCAGGUUGUUGGCGAGGUAACGGCUCACCAAGCCUUUUACCGGUGCGGGCCGUGAGAGCGGGAGCCCGGAGAUGGGUACUGAGACAAGGACCCAGGCCCUACGGGGCGCAGCAGUCGCGAAACCUUUGCAAUACACGAAAGUGUGACAGGGCUAUCCCGAGUGCCAUCCGCUGAGGAAGGCUUUUACCCAGUCUAGAUAGCUGGGGGAAUAAGGAGAGGGCAAGUCUGGUGUCAGCCGCCGCGGUAAUACCAGCUCUCCGAGUGGUGUGGAUGUUUAUUGGGCCUAAAGCAUCCGUAGCUGGCUAGGUCAGUCCCUUGUCAAAUCCACCGAAUUAAUCGUUGGAUCGCGGGGGAUACUGCUUGGCUAGGGGACGAGAGAGGCAGACGGUAUUUUCGGGGUAGGGGUGAAAUCCUAUAAUCCCGGGAAGACCACCAGUGGCGAAGGCUGUCUGCUAGAACGCGCCCGACGGUGAGGGAUGAAAGCUGGGGGAGCGAACCGGAUUAGAUACCCGGGUAGUCCCAGCUGUAAACGAUGCAGACUAGGUGUUUGGACGGCCACGUGCCGUUCUAGUGCCGCAGGGAAGCUGUUAAGUCUGCCGCCUGGGGAGUACGAUCGCAAGAUU